rnacentral:rRNA from 1 species
CAAGUCGAACGAGAACCUGGGGGCUUGCUUCCAGGGGAAAGUGGCGAAAGGGGCAGUAAGGCGUGGGUAACCUACCCUGGGGACCGGUACAUUCCUGUAAUAGGGGUAAAUGCCGGGCGAUGUCGCCGAGGCGCAUGUUUUGGCGAUGAGAUGAAUUUCGCCUCGGGAGGGGCUCACGUAGUAUUAGCUAGUUGGUAGGGUAACGGCCUACCAAGGCAAAGAUGCUUAGCGGGUGUGAGAGCACGACCCGCGCCACUGGCACUGAGACACUGGCCAGACUCCUACGGGAGGCUGCAGUCGAGGAUCUUCGGCAAUGGGCGAAAGCCUGACCGAGCGACGCCGCGUGAGCGAUGAAGGCCUUCGGGUUGUAAAGCUCUUUAGCAGGGGAGGAAGCCGAAAGGUUGACCUAUCCUGAGAAUAAGCACGGGCUAAGUUCGUGCCAGCAGCCGCGGUAAGACGAACCGUGCGAACGUUGUUCGGAAUCACUGGGCUUAAAGGGCGCGUAGGCGGGCUGCCAAGUCCGGGGUGAAAUCUUUCGGCUCAACCGGAAAAGUGCCUCGGAUACUGGCGGUCUUGAGGGAGGUAGGGGUAUGUGGAACUUCCGGUGGAGCGGUGAAAUGCGUUGAUAUCGGAAGGAACGCCGGUGGCGAAAGCGACGUACUGGACCUCUUCUGACGCUGAGGCGCGAAAGCUAGGGGAGCGAACGGGAUUAGAUACCCCGGUAGUCCUAGCCCUAAACGAUGGGUACUAGGUAGUAGACUUAACAUGGGUUUACUGCCGAAGCAAAAGUGGUAAGUACCCCGCCUGGGGAGUAUGGUCGCAAGGCUGAAACUCAAAGGAAUUGACGGGGGCUCAC